rnacentral:rRNA from 1 species
UACGGAGGGGGCUAGCGUUGUUCGGAAUUACUGGGCGUAAAGCGUGCGCAGGCGGUUUGCUAAGACAGGUGUGAAAUCCCCGGGCUUAACCUGGGAACUGCGCUUGUAACUGGCAAGCUAGAGUGUGGCAGAGGGGGGUGGAAUUCCACGUGUAGCAGUGAAAUGCGUAGAGAUGUGGAGGAACACCGAUGGCGAAGGCAGCCCCCUGGGCUAACACUGACGCUCAUGCACGAAAGCGUGGGGAGCAAACAGG